GAUGAACGCUGGCGGCGUGCCUAAUACAUGCAAGUCGAGCGAACAGACGAGAAGCUUGCUCCUCUGACGUUAGCGGCGGACGGGUGAGUAACACGUGGAUAACCUACCUAUAAGACUGGGAUAACUUCGGGAAACCGGAGCUAAUACCGGAUAAUAUAUUGAACCGCAUGGUUCAAUAGUGAAAGACGGUUUUGCUGUCACUUAUAGAUGGAUCCGCGCCGCAUUAGCUAGUUGGUAAGGUAACGGCUUACCAAGGCAACGAUGCGUAGCCGACCUGAGAGGGGGAUGGGCCACACUGGAACUGAGACACGGUCCAGACUCCUACGGGAGGCAGCAGUAGGGAAUCUUGCGCAAUGGGCGAAAGCCGGACGGAGCAACGCCGCGUGAGUGAUGAAGGUCGUCGGAUCGUAAAACUCUGUUAUUAGGGAAGAACAAUUGUGUAAGUAACUAGGCACGUCUUGACGGUACCUAAUCAGAAAGCCACGGCUAACUACGUG
rnacentral:rRNA from 1 species